CCAAAGAUAUGUAGAUGAGUUUUAUGAUGAUUAACACUUAUCGAAUGAACAAAUGUGCCUUUCCAAGUGCAAUCUAUGCUUCACUUAAAAUCCUGGCUCAUAGAUAAAACUUACCUCAUCUGCCCUUUCUACGCCUUAGCAGUUGUGCAAUUGAGGGCAGGCCGCAUGGAAUGCUGCAGCAGUUAGGCAGUGAGGAUGCAAUCUGCGUGGGCUGAAUGGAGGCCUCAGCUUUGGGCAGGUGGGGGCGGUGGUCCUAGCUUCUUGUUCUUGUUCUCCCACCAGGCAUUUCACAUCACCAAUGAUGAGCCCAUCCCUUUCUGGACAUUCCUGUCUCGCAUCCUGACAGGCCUCAAUUAUGAGGCCCCCAAGUAUCACAUCCCGUACUGGGUGGCCUACUACCUGGCGCUCCUGCUGUCCCUGCUGGUGACGGUGCUCAGUCCUGUCAUCCAACUGCAGUCCUCCUUCACACCCGUGCGGGUCGCACUGGCUGGCACAUUCCACUACUACAGCUGCGAGAGGGCCAAAAAGGCCAUGGGCUACCAGCCACUAGUGACCAUGGAUGAUGCUGUGGAGAGGACCGUGCAGAGCUUUCGCCACCUGCGGAGGGUCAAGUGAGGGACACUGAAGGCUGGGCUCUCUCGACACGUUCCCCAACCAGUCACUCCUUCCCCUGUGGAGUGAAGAAAUAACAUCCUUCGAAUGAGUUUGCUCUGAGCCUGUGACUCCUCCUGCUAGGCAGACAGUGCGCCCUACUACUUCCGUGACAAUAAAGGCAGUAACAACAGAUAUAUCCUCCUUCAUGGAAUUGGAUUUGGAUUUCUUGAGGCAGGCAGCUUCAUAUUAUACUGAUUUGUUCUCUGUC